rnacentral:rRNA from 1 species
AAUCAACGCUGGCGGCGUGCCCAGACAUGCAAGUCGAACGAUUAAAGCUCUCUUCGGAGAGUGCAUAAAGUGGCGCACGGGUGAGUAACACGUAAGUAAUCUACCUUCGAGUGGGGAAUAACGUCCGGAAACGGACGCUAAUACCGCAUAACGCAGCGGCAUCGCAAGAUGUACAGUUGUUAAAGAUUUAUCGCUUGAAGAGGAGCUUGCGGCAGAUUAGCUUGUUGGUAAGGUAACGGCUUACCAAGGCUACGAUCUGUAUCCGGUCUAAGAGGACGGUCGGACACACUGACACUGAAUAACGGGUCAGACUCCUACGGGAGGCAGCAGUCGGGAAUUUGGGCAAUGGGGGAAACCCUGACCCAGCAACGCCGCGUGAAGGAUGAAGUAUUUCGGUAUGUAAACUUCGAAAGAAUAGGAAGAAUUAAUGACGGUACUAUUUAUAAGGUCCGGCUAACUACGU